rnacentral:rRNA from 1 species
UACGAAGGGGGCUAGCGUUGCUCGGAAUCACUGGGCGUAAAGGGUGCGUAGGCGGGUCUUUUAAGUCAGGGGUGAAAUCCUGGAGCUCAACUCCAGAACUGCCUUUGAUACUGAGGAUCUUGAGUUCGGGAGAGGUGAGUGGAACUGCGAGUGUAGAGGUGAAAUUCGUAGAUAUUCGCAAGAACACCGGUGGCGAAGGCGGCCCGCUGGGAUCUGGCUGACGGCCUGAGGCGCGACAGCGUGGGGGAGCAAACAGG